rnacentral:lncRNA from 1 species
CGAGAUUCUGUCAGAUUACUCUGAUGAAGGUGGUGUAUAUGUUGCAUACUUGCACAAAGCAAAAGGGUUUGCUAGUGUGUUCUUCCGAAUGGGAACCUUUUAUGAAGGUAUAUUUCGUAUUUUACCUCACAGUUUGUAUCGGUUCUCCCAUAGGGUUCCUUCCUUCAAACUGACUGGAAUUGAAGGAAAAGGUGUGCCAAAGGAUGCUUAUGAGCUGGAUGAAGCUGCGUUACCAGAAACAAUCGAAGAGAUUGUUGUGCCUUCAAACUCUGAGAGUAAAAAAAAGUCUAAACACCAAGCCAUCUACUUUGCUAGUGAGGGAAAGGUCUUUCAAACUGGCCAGAUCUGGUCAUUUUACAGUGGUUAUGAUGAUUUGCCUCUGUAUUAUGGUAGGAUUCAGAAGAUCACUUAUACUCAGGCAUUUAAGCAGGAUCCGGUAAUUAAACUACACAUAAGUAGGCUAAAGGCUACUCGUUUCCCUGAAGAUGUUAUCAACUGGAAAUACGGGGGAAUGCCUGUUAGUUGUGGAACUUUCUACGCGAGAAAAGUUCUAGAAAUAAUUACUCUAAAUGAGGUUUUUACAGCAGAUAAUGCCUCAAACGUCCAUGGAUGGCAUUGAAUAUACCAUUCUCCCCAAAAUUGGUGAAGUUUGGGCGAUAUACAGAUACUGGAGUCAUUACAUUGAUGUGGAUGGCUUGGAAUUCGGUCUUUAUGACAUUGUUGAAAUUCUUGAUGACACUCUGGAUUAUAAGGUCCAACUGCUGAAGCAACAACCCGUUUCUGAUGAUCGUAAUGAUAUGGAACAUAGGUUGUUUAGGGCAUGUACGGAGUAUACUUAUAACGAGGAUGAAGGGUCGGAACCAAUAUUUACGAUCCCAAAGUCGGAAAGGAUCAGAUUCUCGAAUAAGAUUCCUGCUACGCGUGUAACGAAAGAGAUGUCCGGAGAGUUGGAAGACCUUUUAAGUGUUGAGUUUAGGGCAACACCUAUAAACGUUAUACACUGUUGAACAGAGCAAUUGAAAGAAGAAAAGACGGGAAGUGACAAGGAUUCUUUUCUAAUUAGCUUUUGGUACAUUUUUUGGUGUAGGGUUUGAUUAAUAAUCUUAUGACUUUCUCUUUUUUUUUUUUUUUGAAAACGAAAUAUGACUUUCUUUUAUGAUGAUGUUCUUAUAUGUGAUAUAAAACAUCAAAUAUUUGUAGCUUGGUAUGUAGUAAUUUUCUCUCACUUAUUGGUAGUUUGAGUUAUAAUGUGAUGUGGUUUUUGCUGUUCUGCUUUUUCAGACUUAAAAGUAAUCUCUCCGCAGAGUGCAGAGUGCAGAGUGCAGACUACAGAUUCAACCCUACUCAAUUCUUUUUCCAAAUACUUGGCUCUUUGUUUGAUUAAUAAUUUUAGAUUGGUUUCCCGCCAAAAUAUAUAGCCAAUGAACCAACAUUUACCGGGAAAAUGGUUUCCAGGUUAAAUCAAGAUUUACUAAUUUACAUUAGUCGUAGUAAAUAAAAUAACUUUAAUCCUCUUAUUUCAACACUUUCCCGGCGAAAGUCUCUCCACCGCCGCCGAAGAUUCCGAUUCUCUUUUUGUCACUCUCUGUUGGGUAAGGUUUAUUGAUCGAACUGGUUCGUCGACUGUUUGUAGUUGCAUCUGAGUCUAGGGUUUAUACGUUUACGUGUUCUCGCAUAUCCGCCGAUUGUAGAAUUUUAGUUUAUUAAUAUAUAGGGAGGUUGAUUUAGGAAAUAGGGUUCUUAUUAAUUUCUUUGAUUGAAAUGCUUCUGGGUACUUCAAAAAUUAGACCUUUAUUAACUAUUUCCGCUGUGAUUUAGAUCGAUUCUAACUAUAUAAACUACUUGCAGGAACUCUAGAGAAGAAAGUUGUCUUCUUGAGUUUCUAAUUUGUUUCACGAUGGAUGACACUGUAAAUGAGCUUCUAAGAAGGAAAAAAGCUGUCUUGAAUCAUCAAAUCAGGAGUGAUUUGGUUGUAUCGAAUCAUCAGGAAAAAGCUCAAGCUUUCUCCUUGCUACAACAGAAAGAUGUCCCAACUAAAAGUCCCGGCACAAAUUUCAGUGGAAAAGAAUAUUCUUUUGGUUUGAGUAAUUGUACAGUUAAGGUUGGUGAGAAGAGACAGUGGAACGAGUGUGACGACAUUUGCAAUACUGAGAAUCGCAGCAAGUCUGAAGAUGCUGUUGUAAAUUUAAGUAAAGACAUGAUUGUACACAGGAAAAGAAGAGUGUUCAGUGAUAAUGGAGAUGCGGCGGAAGAGUUUGGAAGCGGAAAGCAACUCACUGAGGUUGAUUGUUCUAGAAACCCAAUGUCAAAUGCCAUAAACACGAAUCGGAAGAUGGAUAGGAAACAAGAUGCUCAAGUGGGAGCUGCAGUGGGGAUCUCUGGAAAUCUUGAAGUGGAUCAAAACUCUGGUUUAUGUGAUUCAGGUUCAGGAGGUGCAGUACCACAAAACAUUUUUGGAUGUGCUGGUUUGAAAUUUAACGACUUUGAUAAGCUGAGGGAAGAAGUAAACUUUGAAGUUGGGCAGACCUGGGCUGUUUAUGAUACAGUGGAUGGGAUGCCUAGAUUGUAUGCUCAGAUCAGAAAAGUUUCAGCUCCCUGUUUUGAGCUUAGGAUUACAUAUCUAGAGCCAGAUCCAAAUGGUGAGAAAGAGCUCCAAUGGUUUGAAGAAGACUUGCCUGUUUCUGUUGGUAUGUUCAGGCUUGGGGAAAAUAAGAGCACACAAGAUCGUUCAAUAUUUUCACAUGUUAUUCAUUGCAAUGAACAAAGCAAUACUCUAUGUUUCAGCGUCACUUGUCGUUUCAUCAAAACUUGUCAUUUUAGUGUAUCUCCUAGGAAAGGCGAGACAUGGGCGCUUUUCAAGAACUGGGAUAUUAAGUGGUCUUCAGAGCCAGAUUCUCACCGCAAAUAUGAGUAUGAAUUUGUCGAGAUUCUGUCAGAUUAUUCUGAUGAAGGUGGUGCAUAUGUUGCAUACUUGCAUAAAGCAAAAGGGUUUGCUAGUGUGUUCUUCCGAAUGGGAACUGGUUAUGAAGGCAUAUUUCGUAUUUUACCUCAGAGUUUGUAUCGGUUCUCCCAUAGGGUUCCUUCCUUCAAACUGACUGAAAUUGAAGGAAAAGGUAUGCCAAAAGAUGCUUACGAGCUGGAC